UACGGGGGGGGCAAGCGUUGUUCGGAAUUACUGGGCGUAAAGGGCUCGUAGGUGGCCAACUAAGUCGGACGUGAAAUCCCUCAGCUUAACUGGGGAACUGCGUCCGAUACUGGAUGGCUUGAGUUUGGGAGAGGGAUGUGGAAUUCCAGGUGUAGCGGUGAAAUGCGUAGAUAUCUGGAGGAACACCUGUGGCGAAGGCGGCCCCCUGGUUGGAUACUGACGCUGAGACGCGAAAGCGUGGGGAGCAAACAGG
rnacentral:rRNA from 1 species